rnacentral:rRNA from 1 species
CCCUUAGAUGUCCUGGGCCGCACGCGCGUUACACUGAUGCAUUCAACGAGCUUAUAACCUUGGCCGAGAGGCCUGGGCAAUCUUGUUAACGUGCAUCGUGAUAGGGAUAGAUUAUUGAAAUUAUUAAUCUUGAACGAGGAAUUCCUAGUAAACGCAGAUCAUCAAUCUGCAUUGAUUACGUCCCUGCCCUUUGUACACACCGCCCGUCGCACCUACCGAUUGGAUGGUCCGGUGAAGCCUCGGGAUUGUGGUUCUUGCCGCUUUAUUGUGGCGUGACCGCGAGUACUUGUCUAAACCUUAUCAUCUAGAGGAAGGUGAAGUCGUAACA